rnacentral:rRNA from 1 species
UUCAUAAGGGCGACUGAAACGGGAAGAGCCCAGCGCAAAGCCUCGCGCUCCGAUAUCUAAGGGCGCGAGGGGUGCUGCGUUCGGGAGAGGUCCUGCACGCGCUUCCGCACCGCCUAAGUUGUACAUGAAUGACUCUCAUACCCAGGGAGGGUGUUAGGCCCGUGUGGCGGUAUGCAGCCCCUGCGCGCAAGCGCGGGGGAAGGUACGGGAGUGCGGAACGGGCCUCUCCUUAGAGUCGGGUUGCCUGAAACCGCAACCUAAAGUAGGUGGUAAACUCCAUCUAAGGCUAAAUAUGACCACGAGACCGAUAGCGAACAAGUACCGUGAGGGAAAGUUGAAACAGAACCCUGUAGAGAGAGUUCAAGAGAACGUGAAACCGUUAAGAGGCUAAACGGGUGGAGAUUCGAAGAUCGAACUUGGGGGAUUCAGUCUGUCGGUGGCCGGGAGGGGGUUCGUGGCGCUAGGCCGCCGGGCUCGGCCGCAAGGCGGGUCCGCGGUCUUACGCGACCUCCCGACUGCUGUCCGCUCACAAGGCGGGCACGACCGGGGGGCGCGGCCCGUCCCUUAACCCUGGUGCCGGCGGGCGAUCUUCCCCCUGUAGUAGGUCGCCGCGAUGCGUUGGGAGGGCGUCUUGAGGCCCGGGCGGCAGGAACCGACGUCAAAGCUCUCUCUCAGCCCUCCGGGGCCUUGGAGUCUGCGGCGGCGUCCGGGGAUCCCCUGGUGUCCUUGUCUUGCGCUCCCGACGAUCUCUCCUUGGGGCUUUCGGCGUCUCUUCGGAGCGCCGUCUGCCUUCGCGGCGUGUAAAGUAUCGAUGCUCUACCCGACCCGUCUUGAAACACGGACCAAGGAGUCCAACAUGUAUGCGAGUCAAUGGGCGCACUAAACCCACGGGCGCAAUGAAAGUGAUAACUGGCCCCCCGCAAGGGGGGCGGGGCCGAUCCCUCGAGACUGGGCGGCCGAGCCCCCGGCCGGAGUGACUGCUUUUCCUCCCCGGGAGCGCGGCCCGUCCGUCCCGCACGCCUCCUCUUCCCAGAGGAGGGGGGCGCAGGUCCGGGACUCGCCAGGACGAACGGAGAAGGCGGUUCGCCGCCGGUACCCGGAUGUGUCGGCGAGUACCUCGAGCAUAAAUGUUGGUACCCGAAAGAUAGUGAACUAUGCCUGGCCAGGAUGAAGCCAGGGGAAACCCUGGUGGAAGUCCGCAGCGAUUCUGACGUGCAAAUCGAUCGUCGGAGCUGGGUAUAGGGGCGAAAGACCAAUCGAACUAUCUAGUAGCUGGUUCCCUCCGAAGUUUCCCUCAGGAUAGCUGGCACUCGCCAAAGACGAGUUUCAUCCGGUAAAGCGAAUGAUUAGGGGUGUUGGGGACGAAAUGUCCUCAGCCUAUUCUCAAACUUUAAAUGGGUGAGGUACCGGGCUUGCUUCUCUGAAGCCCCGGGCACGAAUCGGAGUGCUUAGUGGGCCAAUUUUGGUAAGCAGAACUGGCGCUGUGGGAUGAACCAAACGUCGAGUUAAGGGGCCUAAAUGGAUGCUAAUUCCGAUACCAUUGGAAGGGAGUUGCUUGCUAUAGACAGCAGGACGGUGGCCAUGGAAGUUGGAAUCCGCUAAGGAGUGUGUAACAACUCACCUGCCGAAGCAAGUAACCCUGAAAAUGGCAUGGCGCUCAAGCAUCCUCCCGAUACUCGACCGCCGGGUGCACUAUAGGCUGCAACGAGGAGGUCUCGAGGCCCCGGUGAGUAGGAGGGCGCGGCGGUGUGCGUUGAAGGAUACGGCGCGAGCCGGUCUGGAGCCGCCGCUGGUGCGGAUCUUGGUGGUAGUAGCAAAUAUUCGAGCUAGAAAACCACACCCUCGCUGGCCGAUGCGGAGAAGGGUUCCACGCCAACAUCGCUUGGUCGUGGGUCAGUCGCUCCUGAGCCCUGGGAUAGCAUCCCGAUGUACCAGGUUGCUGGGCUUUCCUGUCCUGAUCACUUUGUACGGCGACUAGCUACCGUGGUGGUGCUAGCGCAAUACAAGUAAGAACGUACGAACGUACGAACCUGUCUCCGGCGCUGCUCCGCGCGCCGCGCUCGCUCUCGCCCGAUCGGAGCCCCUCGCUCUCCCUCGUCCUCGCCUCGCCAUCGUGCUACUAUUAGUCGGCGAGGGGGAGGGGAAGAGACCUCGGUCCCUCUCUCUCUCACUAGAUAGAUAGAUAGAGAGAGAGAGGGAGGCGUAGGAGGAGGAGAGGAGUUCCGAGAGAGAGCAAUAGCGGCCGGAGGAGCGGCUCAUGCCGGGUACAUGCGGGUCCGCCGCGCGCCCCGCACACGCUGAUGCGAGUCGACGUCCAAAUCCAAAUGCUCAAAUUCUCGCCUUCCUGAGCUCGAGUCGCUUGCAGAGUGGUGUGCGCCUACAACGGACAAGGGCGGCGGCGGGCGCGGGGGCGCUCGCACUGCCUCCGCGCAGUGCGGCGCUUCCUGCUCCACAAGAGGAGAAACCGCAACGGGGGGUGUGUGUGGGAGUCAAGGUAGUCUUCCCUCCCCCGCCCCCCCACGCGCGUUUGCCCGUGUUGCUGUCAUCCAAACGGUCUAGAAACGA